UUCUGUUGAUAAUUUCUUGGGUUUCUCUGAGGAUGUCCUUUGCCUGCAUACAGAGCAACUGGAUCCAGUGUUUCUUUUCCUGUAUGAGUCCUUGUUGUUGUCCGCUGGCUUUCAUCUGCCAUUAUCAUGGCAUAAGCUUUGCUCACACUAGGCAAGGGAUUCAUCAUCAGGAUUUGACUCCUGGCUUGGCUAUAUACCUCGUUUAGUCUCAUCAGAAAAGCAAACAAUCUCAAAUAGGCUAUGUGAUCCACAUAUGUUCUCGACUUCUCACAACUACAUGAUGGUGGUGGAACGAAAGCAUCGAAUUCAUCCCAUAACAAUCGCAAUCUCGUAAAGUAACUAGAUAUAGUCAAAUUACCUUGAUAUAUUGUGCAAAUUUCUCUAUGAAGCUGAUAGAUCCUUGAUCCAUCGAUCUUAUCAAAUCUAUCCUUAAGAUCUUUCCAUACUGUGGCUGCAUCAUCUGCAUACACUAUACCACUAAGUAACUUCUUGGAUACCGUGUUCAUGAUCCAAGCAAGCACAGAACAAUUGCAUUUUUCCCACUGUUCUUCUAGAUCCAACUUGUAAUCACUCAUCUUGCAUGUUCCAAGCACGAAUCCCAGCUUACUCUUCGCACGUAGGUCAAUCAAUAUGGAUCUGCUCUAUAAUGAAUAGUUCUCCGUCCCUGUAAGCUGUACCGUAGUGAGCACACAUCCUGGAGUAUCAGAUGGAUGAAGGUAUAGUGGAUGAUUUCGCUUCUUCUCGAUUUCAUCUAAUGUCUUUGCCCUAAUUACAGUAAUGGUGAAUAGUGAAGAAUCAGGGGAAACUGUAAUUAGGGCAGAGACAUUAGAUGAAAUCGAGAAGAAGCGAAAUCAUCCACUAUACCUUCAUCCAUCUGAUACUCCAGGAUGUGUGCUCACUACGGUACAACUUACUCUUCGCACGAAGGUUAAUCAAUAUGGAUCUGCUCCAUAAUGAAUAGUUCUCCGUCCCUGUAAGUUGUACCGUAGUGAGCACACAUCCUCCUGGAGUAUCAAAUGGAUGAAGGUAUAGUGGAUGAUUUCGCUUCUUCUCGAUCUCAUCUAAUGUCUCUGCCCUAAUUACAGUUUCCCCUGAUUCUUCACUAUUCACCAUUUCAGUUGCUUCUAGAGAACUUCUUCAAUGGCUGAAUAAUAGGAUCAAUCUUCACGCAGUUGAAUCGAACUCGAUUCUCAGCUUUGAUACCAUGAUGAAAAUACAAUUCAAUGAUAUGAACGAUAGAUCAGUUUGAGAGAAGAAGAGAAAAAUGGAAAAUAUUAU
rnacentral:lncRNA from 1 species